UACCAGCACCCCGAGUGGUCGGGACGAUUAUUGGGCCUAAAGCAUCCGUAGCCGGCCUUACAAGUCCUCCGUUAAAUCCAGCUGCUUAACAGAUGGGCUGCGGAGGAUACUAUAAGACUAGGAGGCAGGAGAGGCAAGCGGUACUCAGUGGGUAGGGGUAAAAUCCGUUGAUCCAUUGAAGACCACCAGUGGCGAAGGCGGCUUGCCAGAAUGCGCUCGACGGUGAGGGAUGAAAGCUGGGGGAGCAAACCAGGG
rnacentral:rRNA from 1 species